UUGCACCUUUUAAAUGAUUUUUUAUUUAUUCUUCUUUGGCUCUAUGUGGGUAUUGUAGGAAGUGUGGAGCAUUUUCCCGUUCUACAUGCGAUUGUUUCAUUUUUGCUCAGGGGUUUACCUCACACAUCCAGGAAGUCAUCCUCGCAUACCCAUGUACCAAUCAUACCAAGGAAAACAUUUGAUGACCUCGUUGCCAUAAAUAUCGAGUCUACCAUGAGGAGAACCAAGCUUUCCAAUAUUCUGAAGUCGUAUGAGAUGCCACAUACGGUCCACUAUGCUAUUCCAACUCCUGAUUGUUGUUCUCAUUGCUCGAAGGAAGGGUUCAAGGCUUUCAGUGAUGCUAUCAUUAGAUUUGGGGGGGCUUUGCUGCUCCACCUUUUUUUUGUGAAUGUGCUCAAUUACUUCAAAUUGGCACCUCUUCAAUUGUCACCUAACCCUUUGGUGGAAUUAUGGUGCAUGUACAUCCUAUAUCAGAAAAUGCACCAGUGAGGAUCCUUGAUGAAGGAGUUCCAUCAUUUGUUUACCUUGAGAAUGAACUUGUAGACUUGCGUCUUUUAUCAACUUCAGAAGGUUGUUCCCCUACUCCCCCUCGUGGAGGGGUCUAUCUCAAAAAGAGGUGUGUGGAAGAGUGAUUUCAUUUUCACAAAUAGUAUCUCCAUAUAUCAUACCCACUUUCAAUGUAUCAAGUAAGCUCGUUUAUUCGUCUUCUUCUUCUCUCAUCUUUUUCUUUUUUUUUUUGGGGGGGGGGGGGGGGGGGGGAAUGUUUAACUUGCUACUAAUUUUCUGUUAGGUCUUGAGGGAGUAGUCAGACCUAGGUUGGUGCACAGAGAACCGUUAACUAACCAUUUUGUUAACUAACAAGCAGGCCAGUGGCCUCUUCACAUAGAAGAAUCUUCAUCUUUAUGGGUUAUUGUUUCCUGACCAAUUAAUUACUUUGUGUCGUGUCUUAUCCAUGGCCCUGAGACCUGAACUAGAGUGUGAGGAUGAUGACGAUGAAGACGAAGACUACCACUACUCUGGGGAUGACCUGAUGGAUACUUAGGAUGAUGUUGAGGUGUGGAAACGAAGGAUUAUUCAUGUUGAAGGUCUUCGAUCAGUGUGGGUGGGGAGCCAUAUGAUGGAGAUGUGGAGGCCGUAGAUGAUGUUACUUCACAAGUCCCGUUGUCGGCAACAAGCAAUGAGUUUGACUUUGUAACUUCUCCACCAUCUUCAUCUGCCGCAAAGAAGAACUUCAUCAUGCCAUUCUUUGAUGAUAUUCUCUCACCUCCAGGGUCACUUGAGAUGUGCAUCCAUAGGCACUUCCUAUCCUAAGGAGGUGACUCAUUACACUUCUACCCCUUGUACCUCAGCUAAUGGAUCGAGGACCUCCCACUUUCCUUCUCAGUUCAGGCACACCUCUACAGGCGUUUGUACUCCAACUCGCCACGUCUCUGACUCUGCUUCAUGGGAGAACCCUUUUGCGGCCCAAUAUGGAGAUGCCAUGAUUCACCAAAUAGGGAAGAUUCCUAAAGCUAAAUGGAGAUCCAUUCAUGAGAUACUAGACACUGACUUGGGCAAGGAAGGCUUCCACUCAAGUAUACGUUGAGACAUUACUACAUGUUACAAUUUUUUAUUUUAUUUUAUUAUUUGUUUUUUGUUCUUACCAUCGUUUACCCGCUGACCUCCUCUUCUCUGUGUUUACUAAGGCUUCUAUCUUGGGGCACUGUUUUGUCGCCUUUAGUUCUUUCUCAACACAUUGCCUGUAGUCUAAGCAUGAGGUGGAUAUGAGGGAUCCUUCCCUAGUCAAGACGUAAAAUGAGCAACUGACUCUGAAUGUUAUUGACUUAGAAAGUCAACUUUCCGAAGCCUUCCACAAGAUGAAUGCUGCGAUAGCCAAGACUGCUUCAUUCUCUCAAGCAAAGGAGAAACUUGAGGCCACUAUUAGGUCCUUGAAUGAGAGAAUAGGUAAACACGAAGUCGUUCUAGUGGUUUCCAAGAACAACAUAGUUGAACAUAUGCUACAUGUCGUUUGGAGACUCAACCCAGCGUUAACUUGUCCACCCUUCAGCGAUAUGCCAUCAAAAAAGUUGUUGAGUGGAGUGCUUGAGGUGGGAGGUCGUAGGGUUGCCUUUGGGGUUUCUUUUCCCUAAUUUAGCGUGAGAGGUUUUGUGUGACCCUCUUCUCCUUCGAUUAUAGGCCUUAUGUUUAAGCCUUUUGUUUAUGCUUGGAGCUUUUGAAGUCCAUUAUUUAUGUAUGGAACUUUUGUGUCUGGAAAUUUUGUUUUUUGUUUUUGUUUUAAUUAAAGUCCAUUAUUUAUAUAUGGAUUUUUUGUGCUUGAAACUUCUUUACAAGUCCAUUAUUUGUGUAAGGAUCUUUUUAAAUUUCUAUCUCUUCCUUAA